UAGAGACAAGGUCUCAUUCUGUUGCCCAGGCUGGAGUGCAGUGGUGCAAUCACGGUUCACUGCAACCUGGAACUCCAGGGUUCAAGCAAUCCUCCUGCCUCAGCCUGCCGAGUAGCUGUGACAACAGGUGCGAGCCACCAUGCCCAGCUAAGAUUUCACCAUGUUGCCCAGCUGGUCUUGAACUCCUGGCCUCAAGCAAUUCUCCUGCUUUAGGCUCCCAAGUUGCUGGAAUUACAGGGCUGCACGGAGCCUGCUGAGUCUCCAACCCACCUCGCUCACCGCUCUGACCACUGACAGGCAGAGCAAAGGAUGCGGGAGUUGCCUCUGCUGCCCAUCUAAGGGGACGUAGGCAGAGAAGCAAAGGCCUCUGCUCUCCCUCCAUCCAUCCCGGUGUGCUGGCCCCAACGGAACAGGAGUCCUUCAACUAUUGCCUGCCAGAGACCCAAUUGCAGGGACUGUAGUCUGCAUCUGGAUGAGCUGGGCUGUAGAUUGAAGUCUCAGAAGCAGGGAAGGUUGGAAGGGGUAGGGUCCCAGAGCCCAUGGAGUUAUUGCUGAGAAGAUAUGCAGGGGACACAUUCCCCAGGGGCAGAGUAGAAGCCCUGGGCCUGGAAUCCCCGGGCGCUCUGUGAAGGGGCGGGGCAGAUGGGGACUCCUCGUGGAAGCCCCUGGGAAGAAAUUAACCACGGAAGGGCAUAGCCUGCCUGACGUCAACGCUGGGCUCACCAGCUCCUUGCUUUGUAUCUCCAGUUGCUAAGAGACCUUCAGACUGGGAUCAGGUGGGAUAAGGAAGCAAGGUUUUUGUUAAAGGAGUGAAAGGAGUCCAUGAAGAAUGAUGACAAAGUGCUGCAAACCUUCCCAGGUCCCAAGACGACUGAAGACCACUGCCCGUGCUCUUACCCUACGCAUCCCUAAAUCAGGGGAGGGGGCUGGUCUCGGGCAACAAGCAGCCUCCUAGGAGCAGAAGGUGAUGGAGGGCCACGGGGGCAGGGAGGAGCAGAUGGCCAUGUGGCUCAGCCCCUGCCUGGGAAAGCGAGUCCACAGUUCACUAACAAACACAAUACCAUCCACAAACAAGUAGCCACAAAGACCACAGUUAGCAAACACACACAGUCACACACACACACACACACACACACAUCACGGGAGGUGGGCAGGACCGCAGGCUGCAGUGGGGAGGCAAGUGUUAGUUGCAUCAUCAGGUGGAGGAAUGGUGUUAGAGGGGAUAGGGUGGGGGACACACAAGUUCUUGGCUUCUCCUGGGGAAAGGGCUGUUGCUGAAGUGGCCGGUUUUCUUAAGCAUCGACAUUUGCAUCCAAAGGUUCAAGCAGCCGCCUCAGGUUCCAGAGGCUGAGGAGGAGGAUAAUUUAAAUUAAAAACACUUCGGCUGCCUCUGGUAUCCUUAUCUGCUUCUCUCCCUUCCUUGAGCACCUGCCCACUGAAAUUCCCGGUAUGACAGCCUCGUCUGAGACGCAGAGAAAGGAGACAAAGACACAGGGGAGGGGUGAACCUCAGAAGAAGCCUCUCCCAGGUGGGCUGGAGCCUGGCAGACAUGGAAAGGAAAUUGUUAAACCCAGGACCUCCCCAGUGGUUGCUCACAGUCCUGAGCCUUAGGAUAAAAGGUUUCUGAGAAAGAACUAGUUUGGGAAAAAAAAAAUGAAAAGACAUUUCAUUUCCAGGCUGCCUCCUCUGAGCCUUCCCAGAUUCUCAGUCUGUGAUGAAAUAGACAGAACACCAAGCUACCAGGAAGGGCACCUGCCUCCUAGAUCGGAAUCUUCGUCCAUUCGCACUUAGGUGAUCACUUGCCUUCGAGAGCCCCAUCCAGAAGACGGGAGUAAUGAGCCCUGCUCUGCCCAUCACGGGCCGCUAUGAGGAUGCAAAAGCACUUAGGAAAGAAUUUAAAUGCUACACAGGCACACGAUAUUGUUACGCACAGUCAAAGCUGGUGCAUCGGGCACUUCAUCAUCCAGAAACCUCUUUUACCUUACAAUGUGAGAUAAACUUAUAUACCUUUCUAUAAUGCCUUACUUGUAUGGGGGGAAAAAAAGGCAGAAGUGAGCUGACAAAACACAAACCUUUUCCCUUAGGAUAUUCCAGGGCAUGUCAUAAAGCGAGACGCACAGGACAGAGGGGAGCAGUGGCGCUGAACCACAGCCGCAAAGGCCUGAGUUCACAGUCCGGGCUGUCACUCUCCACGGGGCUAUUCCCUCUCAUCUUGGUUUCACCUAUAAAAUGGGCUAAACCCCACCUGUCCCAUCCUCUUUUUCUGGCAGACUCGAGUGAGUCUGUGUGUGUGGUGGCACUCUGAAAACUGUACAGCAUUUGCCAGUUACUACUCUCCUGUGCCCCCUACGAUGAACAAUGGAAAUAGAUACUAAAAUCAGUGCCCUUAAAUGUGGA
rnacentral:lncRNA from 10 species